rnacentral:rRNA from 1 species
UACGUAGGGGCCUAGCGUUGUCCGGAAUUACUGGGCGUAAAGGGCGCGUAGGCGGCUUUGCAAGUGACGGGUGAAAUCCCUCGGCUUAACCGAGGAACUGCCUGUCAAACUGCAUGGCUUGAGACCGGGAGAGGUGAGUGGAAUCCCCAGUGUAGCGGUGAAAUGCGUAGAUAUUGGGAGGAACACCAGUGGCGAAGGCGGCUCACUGGACCGGUACUGACGCUGAUGCGCGAAAGCGUGGGGAGCAAACAGG